rnacentral:rRNA from 1 species
AGCGAACGUUAGCGGCGGGCCUAACACAUGCAAGUCGAACGCGAAAGGUCUUCGGACUGAGUAGAGUGGCGCACGGGUGAGUAACACGUAGGUAAUCUACCCUUUGGCGGGGGAUAACGUUCCGAAAGGAGCGCUAAUACCGCAUAAGACCACGGAGUCUCCGGACGCUGUGGGAAAAGGUGGCCUCUUCUUGAAAGCUACCACCGAAGGAUGAGCCUGCGUCCCAUCAGCUAGUUGGUAAGGUAAUGGCUUACCAAGGCGAAGACGGGUAGCUGGUUUGAGAGAAUGAUCAGCCACACUGGCACUGGAACACGGGCCAGACUCCUACGGGAGGCAGCAGUGAGGAAUAUUGGGCAAUGGGCGAAAGCCUGACCCAGCCACGCCGCGUGAGUGAUGAAGGCCCUCGGGUCGUAAAGCUCUGUGGAGAGGGACGAAAAACCCCUGGUUUCAAAUAGGCUCCAGGCUUGACGGUACCNCUUUAGCAAGCACGGCUAACUCUGUGCCAGCAGCCG